rnacentral:rRNA from 1 species
CCGCCGACCUGCUACCGAUGGUGUUGCUACGUGCUCCUCCGAUCGGGUUCCGACAGCCUGCUGGCGUUGGUGCCUCUACGUUCUCCUCCGUUCGGGCUCCGCCGGCUUGCUGUCGCUAUACAGUAGGAGCUGAUUCCGACCAAGGAAGACUACCACCCGCCGCGGUCUAGGUCAGUAAGAGGAGCUCGAGGGGCAGCAGCACGAUGGCACCCGCAGAAGCGGUUGUAGAGUGCGGCCACUUGCACAGGACGGCCACCAAGGAGGACGGCAGUAUUGCAUUUGGUCGUUUCGUACACGCGUGCCGCCUUCUACGAGAGCGAAGGCGCCUUGCGUGCGGAGGGGAUGCCAGUGCCUGUUCUAUGUAUGCCUUUAAAUUUAUAAAGGAGUACGGGUCACAUCUCAUACGUUUGAAGUAUCACCUUUAUUUCCUGACUGCUGUGACUGUACUCAAAACAGUCACCUUUCUCGUUUCUCACUACGGUGUCAGACUUACGACCUUAGGCUUCCUUAACUGGAUGAUAACCAUGUGAUAUGUUUCGUAUUUACGGUUAGGAAGUAAAAGAAAUGACUUUUUAGUAAUCAGAAGUAAUUAUAACAAGAGGUAGAAACAACAAAGAGGUUAAGUUGUUUAAGUUCAAUACCGGAAUACGAAUCGAUAGGUAAGAAAUAAUAAACAGACGAUACAAUCCUACAAUUAAGUUAACUUGUAAUAAAAUUACGUGAAGUUAAGUCAAAGGGAAAGUAAACGAUUCCGAUGUAGUUAAAACUAACAGUGACAUCUCGUAUAAAUUGAUUGAUGCUGAACAAAGGGUGCGAUAAAAUACGAUUUACAAAAGGGGAAAACUAACUUUAGGGGAUGGGUGAGGUGGCAAACUACGAAUGAGAAAAAAGACAUGUCGGCUCUACCAGUAUUUAGCCCGAGAAAAGACAUCGUUGAGACUCGAUGUAGCUGACGAAGUAUAAAAGUCGUAAAAAGGAGGGACGAAGAGGACCAGGCAACUCUUUAUACACAGAACUUCAAGACAUGAUUUCUGAUAUCCGGACGUGUACCAGUAAGUCGUGACUUCCAGUUACAACGUGAAUCCGGCCAACCCCAGACUUGUACGUUCUUUUCCUUCCUUUUAAUCAUUUUAUGUUUAGAACGAAGUUGUUUUUACAACUGUUAUACGAAAUGAUCUAGUAAUCGAAACUGUCCUUUUUAUUAGACAGUCUUAACGUCCUAAAGAAGUUAGUUUAGUAAUCGUUUACGGUUUCGGAACUCCGAUGGUGAUGUUUACUUGGUUUUAACACUUGACCAAUUCGUUUCUCGAUCUGACGUGGUAACUGAAACGAACGAUAACCGCACACAAAUUGUACGACCAAACCCAGUCUGUCAACUGCGCCCUGAGUCUUUAACUGAGCCUUAUUACUAGCGUUCACCUUCUUUAGUAGUGUCAAUCCUGCUCGAACUCCAACGUCGCCGCCUCGGUUCUCACUCACGUUGGCUUAUCCGGGGUUCAACCACUACGAACGUGAUCUUUGGCGGUACGUAGUCAUCUAGAGGACGUUUAUAGCAGGAGCCAAGGGUAGUGAAAGUUAAAGUAUUCUUGUGGGUUUAGGUACGCGUACUUCCUCUUUACCUACUAGUGAUCGGACACAUAAACACUAAAAAUUCACGUCGGGUAACCGUCAAAAUAAACUAAGGUUAAUUAUUACAACUAACAUGUGAUAAAUAUUAGUAAUGUACAUAAUACAAUACAAUAGUUACUGAACUAAAGUUCCGG